CAGGCUGCUUGAUAGUGUCACAGGGAGAAAUAAUCUAAUGGGCAGAAAUGAAGAGAGGAAAAUAGUUCUCAGCAAGUGGCAUCAGCUUAUUUGGUAUUUUUUUCUCAGCUUAUUGUUACAGACAUGUUAAUGGCAAAUCUGAGAAGGUUCUUUUGUGAAUCAGGUUAUGGCUAUGAUUGUUCAAAAAGCUCAUUGCCAAUUUAUGAAGAGCAGCAAAACUCAUUUUCUCUUAAUGUGAAAUCACUUCAGCCUGUCAGUAGAGAAACAAUUGUUGAAAAGUGAAUUGACCACAUACGGAUCCAUUCUUUCUUUUCAAAAGAAAGAGCAGCAGGGGCUCUUUGACUCAGGAUUUCAUUAAAACAACAAAAGGAUUUUGGGGGAAUAACUGAAUUCGCUCUCUGGAAUUAGAGAUACAUAGUUUAAUACAUACAUAUUCUUUCCAUAAAUUGAAUGAUUUAGGUGAUCAAAAUGAGUUCUGAUCACAAUUCCCGGUUCCUCCAUGUUAAGAAAUAAACAAUGAUCAUUACCCAUAGUGGCUGUAGAUAUAGCUCUGUGCUGGGUGAGAUUGUUUUUCUGUGUUCUGUCUGUGGUUCCUAUGACCUCUCUCAUGCUCUGUCACUUGGGAUA
rnacentral:lncRNA from 1 species